CGGUGAGGGCGGGACAGGGAGCUACCGUGAGGAGACAUCAGCGAGCGCCCACCUUGUGAGGCGGCGGUCCCUCCGCACCGGAACUGCGGCGCUCGGUGGGAGCCGGUGCUCGGGGACCCCGCGGAACCCGCCCGAGCGCAGCCCUGGCCGUGUGACGUGUGUGCCUGUGCCCGCUGCUCCAGCGGCACAGCUGCCCUCUGGAAACUCCCCGCUCGCCUGAGCGAGGAGGGGGCGAGAACAGGGACUCUCCCGUUAACGCAGCCGGGCGGCGGGAAAGGAAACGUCGGUGAAGCCUGAGUCAGGGAGGAGGCAGUCGGCAGCGUGGGUGUUUCCCGUCCGAAGCCCGCCAGAAAUAGUGCCGCCUUUUUGGCAGCGUGCGCUCAAGGGGCGCGGUGGGAGGCCGGGUGUUUCGCCAGAUGAGAAGCCACGGAGCUGGCGAUACCACCAGUCCCGGGGUGCAGCGGGCAGGAGCGGAGCUCGGCGUGUGCUGAGCCAGGGCCUGGGAGGGGUCGAGCUGUGAUGACUCGAGAGGGAUACCUUCAGGGCAUUUAUCUCACAGUCAUCAUCACAGAACUUGAACAUCUCAGUCUAUUAAAGAGCAAGAUAGCAGUCUACAGAUAAAAGCUGUCAAGUGCAACAAACGCCAGUCCUGAAAUCCCAACUGCAAGCAAGUCAGUGAGAUCAAGAUGUUACAAGGCAACCUUAAAAGACAUUUGCUUUUAAGGCUACUAAAAGAAGUAUCGUGAUUAAUCACAGAGGGCAUAAAAGCUGGAGAUGGACUUUCAUUUACUUGUCUUUGCACAGGUCUCUGCAUUGUGACGGUAAGCCCAGCUCUGAGCCGGUGUAAUGCAGCAGGACUCAGCUAACUUCACAGCUGUGCUGGUUUAAAUCACAGAAUUUGGCCUGGUUUAAGACUUGAGAGCUGCGUGAUUCUGUUACCCUUGUUUCUAUGUAAAAAACAGGAGUAUAUAAAAGAGCAAUAGGGUAGAGCACUACCUCAGCAAUUUGGAACGACAGGGGAACCGCUAUGGAUUGCUAACUCGAACCUUGUGCCCACAGCUUGGCUGAGAGUCCUCAGAGGAGAGCAAGAGAAACCUACUAUAUGAUAUAUAUACGCCAGCAGAGUGCUCUGCCUUGAAAUGAGAGCCGACAGGCAAAGCCAGUGGAGUACAUUGGGAGCAUUGUUUUAUUGCUGCUUUACUGCUGAGAUUGCUGAACGGUCACGAAAAUGCCUGGCGCUGCUGCUGCACUGUUCCAGCAGGACGUGACCUGCUGUGGGAGAUGGCCGCACACUGCAUCUCUAUGGUGUGCAGCAGCAGCUCAUGGAAAUGCUGAAGAACUGGAAAUAUCAGAUGAGUUCUCUCUAUGCAACUGAGUUUACAGCAGUUGGACUAUUGCCAGCUAAACUAGCACAAUUUAAAAGUAAACCAGAAUUUCUACACCAGCAGAAGUGUGUCAGCUGCGCUAAACCCACAUGGAAGCUGGUCCCAGGGAAGCAGAGCAGGAGGCCAUUGGCUCCUCACCCCAGCCCUGCUGGCCCACACUGUGAGCUGGGCCCCACAGCUUUGGGUCACUUUAUUCAUUUUCCAUGCUUAAAGGUUCUUGACUGCACAAAGCAAUCUUGGAUUACAAAGGAGCGUAGGCUACAUCUCAACUGUUUCAAGUGCUGCCAAGAAAAAAGGGGACUUGGGUCAAGCCCAAGCUAGCCAAGCACAGAAUUUGACAAGGCUUU